GUCCCAGCGCGCGUGCGCCCCUGGCGGCGGGUUCCGGCGGCAGCGCCGGGGUCUCAGAGCCCGCGGAGACCGAGCCCAGCGCCAGGCGACCGGUCCCCGCCGCCACCGCCCCUGCGCGGUAGAUCCACCCUGCUUAGUCCGCGCCCGAGCCCCCGUCCGUGGGGAACAGACAAGGGGUCUCCGCAGCGCCUCACAACCCCCGACCAGGUCCAGCGGCGGGGGACUCGGCCGUGGAGGGCGCUGUUCCGUCUGGAUGGCUCCCGCCAUCAGCGGGAGGCUACACCCCCUACCAGCAGGAGCAAGAGGAGCAGCGGGAGGGGAGCAGGCCGCCGUCCUGCGGCCUGGUUGAGCUCGCACUGACAAUCGCAGCUCAGGUGCUCAGAACUGCCAGGACCCAGAGGAUUCACAUGCCAGCCCCGGCUGAAGCCCAGCUCCUCAUCAACCGGUGAGCCGCCUGCCAGCUCCUGCUUUGGCUGCCGAGAGGCCUGAAGUGACUAAGACAGAGACACAGCCCCGCAGCACCACAGGGAGGCCCCAAUUACCCCAUGCGGAUGAGUUUCAUGGCCACCUCUAACUAAGGAAAGGACAUCGAUGUCAUCUGUAACUUCCGGUGCACUGGGGCACACAGCUGCAUCUCCCCAUGCUCACCUCCUGCCUCUUGCUCUGCCCAGUGCUGGAGUGCAGUGGCACAAUGUCAGCUCACUGCAACCUCUGCCUCCAGGAUUCAAUCGAUUCUCCUGCCUCAGCCUCUCCAGUAGCUGGGAUUACAGGUGUGCACCA
rnacentral:antisense_RNA from 1 species